rnacentral:rRNA from 1 species
UACGUAGGCAGCGAGCGUUGUUCGGAGUUACUGGGCGUAAAGGGUGUGUAGGCGGUUGUUUAAGUUUGGCGUGAAAUCUCCCGGCUCAACUGGGAGGGUGCGCCGAAUACUGAGCGACUAGAGUGCGGGAGAGGAAAGUGGAAUUCCUGGUGUAGCGGUGAAAUGCGUAGAUAUCAGGAGGAACACCGGUGGUGUAGACGGCUUUCUGGACCGUAACUGACGCUGAGACACGAAAGCGUGGGUAGCAAACAGG